GCAGACACAUUCCAGCCAAUCAGCAGCAGACCCUCCCUCCCAGACCCUCCCACCUCCUGGACAGCAUCCAUUUUACAUUCAUUGUGAAGCUGCAUUCUUAGUGAGCUGUCCAGGAGGUGGGAGAGUCUGGGAGGGAGGGUCUGCUGCUGAUUGGCUGGAAUGUGUCUG